rnacentral:rRNA from 1 species
UACGUAGGGUGCGAGCGUUGUCCGGAUUUAUUGGGCGUAAAGAGCUCGUAGGCGGUUUGUCGCGUCGGCCGUGAAAUCUCCACGCUUAACGUGGAGCGUGCGGUCGAUACGGGCAGACUUGAGUUCGGUAGGGGAGACUGGAAUUCCUGGUGUAGCGGUGAAAUGCGCAGAUAUCGGGAGGAACACCGGUGGCGAAGGCGGUUCUCUGGGCCUGUACUGACGCUGAGGAGCGAAAGCGUGGGGGAGCGAACAGG